rnacentral:rRNA from 1 species
UACAGAGGGUGCGAGCGUUGUCCGGAAUCACUGGGCGUAAAGGGCGCGUAGGCGGCUUGAUAAGCGUGCGGUGAAAGCCCGGGCUCAACCCCGGGUCGGCCGUGCGAACUGUCGAGCUGGAGCACUGUAGAGGCAGGUGGAAUUCCGGGUGUAGCGGUGGAAUGCGUAGAGAUCGGGAGGAACAUCAGUGGCGAAGGCGGCCCAUCUGGGACAACACUGACGCUGAGGCACGAAAGCGUGGGGAGCGAACAGG